rnacentral:rRNA from 1 species
UGGGGAAUAUUGCACAAUGGGGGAAACCCUGAUGCAGCGACGCCGCGUGAACGAAGAAGGUAUUCGUAUCGUAAAGUUCUGUCCUAUGGGAAGAUAAUGACAGUACCAUAGAAGAAAGCUCCGGCUAAAUACGUGUCAGCAGCCGCGGUAAUACGUAUGGAGCGAGCGUUGUCCGGAAUUAUUGGGCGUAAAGGGUACGCAGGCGGUUUAAUAAGUCGAAUGUUAAAGAUCGGGGCUCAACCCCGUAAAGCAUUGGAAACUGAUAAACUUGAGUAGUGGAGAGGAAAGUGGAAUUCCUAGUGUAGUGGUGAAAUACGUAGAUAUUAGGAGGAAUACCAGUAGCGAAGGCGACUUUCUGGACACAAACUGACGCUGAGGUACGAAAGCGUGGGGAGCAAACAGG